GGGCAUUGAAUAUCGAACAAUACGUCAAUUUCAAUGAUUUUGGUUUUUUUUGAGACACCCUGUAGAGCUAUCUUGAGUAUAUACAGUGUGUAUAAAAAAAGGCUAGUCUUUGAAAUUCAAAUUAGUCAUAAUUAUAGUGAUCUCAUUGUUCUGAAGUGCAGUCAGGGUGUCCCCCAAAAAAGUGACACUAUAGAAAUUAUCUCAUUGUUCUUAAGCCGCUCGUAAACGCGCGUGAUUACACGCCAAGGAAAUUUAAUGAACUUGUAUUUACAUUUAAGCAUUUUAAAACAUUUUCGCUUUGUCAAAAAGAUCUUCUUCGAGUCAAGCAAAACGAUUACACUAAUAAACGAUUUGCUUUUUUAUUCUAAAUUCCAGAAGCAGACGUUUAUGCACCUGUGGGAUCAACUUAGUGCUAGGGCAUUCAAAUUAUAACAAUAGGAUAAUUUCUAUAGUGUCACGUUUUUUUGGGACACCCUGUACAGGGUGUCUCAAAAAAACCCAAAAUCAUUGAAAUAACGUAUUGUUCGAAUUUCAAUGCCGUAACACAAAGGAUUUUGACAGGGUGAUUAAUUUGUUUUAAAAAAUUAAAAUAUCUUUGUAAAG